GUAGGAGCUGGAAGUGGGUUUGGCAACGUGCGACAUCGGCCCAGGCUCACCCCUCCGUUCCCUACAG
rnacentral:miRNA from 14 species